rnacentral:rRNA from 1 species
CCUACGGGGGGCAGCAGUGGGGAAUAUUGGACAAUGGGGGCAACCCUGAUCCAGCCAUGCCGCGUGUGUGAAGAAGGCCCUCGGGUUGUAAAGCACUUUCAGUGAGGAAGAACGCCUGGUGGUUAAUACCCAUCAGGAAAGACAUCACUCACAGAAGAAGCACCGGCUAACUCCGUGCCAGCAGCCGCGGUAAUACGGAGGGUGCGAGCGUUAAUCGGAAUUACUGGGCGUAAAGCGCGCGUAGGUGGCUUGAUAAGCCGGUUGUGAAAGCCCCGGGCUCAACCUGGGAACGGCAUCCGGAACUGUCAAGCUAGAGUGCAGGAGAGGAAGGUAGAAUUCCCGGUGUAGCGGUGAAAUGCGUAGAGAUCGGGAGGAAUACCAGUGGCGAAGGCGGCCUUCUGGACUGACACUGACACUGAGGUGCGAAAGCGUGGGUAGCAAACAGGAUUAGCUACCCGAGUAGUC